GCCUGGGUGGCUCAGUCGGUUAAGCAUCUGACUUCAGCUCAGGUCACGAUUUCGCAGUUCGUGGGUUGAAACUCCUCAUCAGGCU
rnacentral:tRNA from 1 species